rnacentral:rRNA from 1 species
UACGUAGGGGGCGAGCGUUGUCCGGAGUUACUGGGCGUAAAGGGCGCGUAGGCGGCGCGGUAUGUCACCUGUGAAAUCUCCUGGCUCAACUGGGAGCUUGCAGGCGAAACUGCCGUGCUGGAGUGUGGGAGAGGUGCGUGGAAUUCCUGGUGUAGCGGUGAAAUGCGUAGAUAUCAGGAGGAACACCUGUGGCGAAAGCGGCGCACUGGACCACAACUGACGCUGAGGCGCGAAAGCUAGGGGAGUAAACAGG